rnacentral:lncRNA from 1 species
UAAUAUACGGAAAAUUUCGGGUUGCGAUGCUAACUUUGAUCUGGAAGAUUAAAGUGGAGUUUGAAUUAAAUGUGUAUCAUUCCCGAGUGAUUUUGGAGGUGUGGGAAUGAUUUCUAGAGAUAAUUGAGUAUUUGAUGCAAAUCAGGCAUGAAAUGAGAGUUUUGGAUUACAAGAUUAACUUGAAAUUUUAUUGCUCAAAGAGAAGCAAUAAUGUAAAUGUGGUAUUCCCGAACUAAAUUGAUAGCUUGGGGAUAGUGUUUCGCAUGCUUUGGAGGUAAUUAGAUGGAUUCGGAG